GACGAACGCUGGCGGCGUGCUUAACACAUGCAAGUCGAACGAUGAAGAAAAGAAUCGAAGCUUCGGCAGAAAUUCAUUUCGGAUUAGUGGCAGACGGGUGAGUAACGCGUGAGCAACCUACCUCUUACAAAGGGAUAGCCUCGGGAAACCGGGAUUAAUACCAUAUAACAUUGCGACGAAGCAUUUCGAUGCAAUCAAAGCUACGGCGGUAAGAGAUGGGCUCGCGUCCCAUUAACCGGAUGGUGAGGUAACGGCUCACCAUAGUGACGAUGGGUAACCGGCCUGAGAGGGUGAACGGUCACACUGGAACUGAGACACGGUCCAGACUCCUACGGGAGGCAGCAGUGGGGAAUAUUGCACAAUGGAGGGAACGCUGAUGCAGCGACGCCGCGUGAGUGAUGAAGGAAUUCGUUUCGUAAAACUCUGUUCUAUGGGAAGAAAAGGACUGUACCAUAGGAGAAAGCUCCGGCUAAAUACGUG
rnacentral:rRNA from 1 species